AAUCAACGCUGGCGGCGUGCCUCAGACAUGCAAGUCGAACGCGAAAGUCCCCUUCGGGGGACAAGUAGAGUGGCGCACGGGUGAGUAACACGUAGGUAAUCUACCUUCGGAUGGGGAAUAACAACCGGAAACGGUUGCUAAUACCGCAUAAUGCAGCGGCACCUAAUGGUGACAGUUGUUAAAGCGGGGGAUCGUUAAGACCUCGCGUCUGAAGAGGAGCCUGCGGCGGAUUAGCUAGNGGUAGGGUAACGGCCUACCAAGGCGACGAUCCGUAGCCGGCCUGAGAGGGCGGUCGGCCACACUGACACUGACAUACGGGUCAGACUCCUACGGGAGGCAGCAGUCGGGAAUUUUGGGCAAUGGGCGAAAGCCUGACCCAGCAACGCCGCGUGAAGGAUGAAAUCCCUC
rnacentral:rRNA from 1 species